rnacentral:rRNA from 1 species
CAGUAGCCACGGUAAUACGAAGGGGGCUAGCGUUGUUCGGAUUUACUGGGCGUAAAGGGCGCGUAGGCGGGCGAAUAAGUCAGGGGUGAAAUCCCAAGGCUCAACCUUGGAACUGCCUUUGAUACUGUUUGUCUUGAGUCCGGGAGGUGUGAGUGGAACUGCGAGUGUAGAGGUGAAAUUCGUAGAUAUUCGCAAGAACACCAGUGGCGAAGGCGGCUCACUGGCCCGGAACUGACGCUGAGGCGCGAAAGCGUGGGGAGCAAACAGGAUUAGAUACCCCUGUAGUCCCUGUCUCUUAUAC